GUGCAAGGCCUGUUGGGCAGGGCUGUGUCUCCCAUCUCGGCGCGUUGGGUCCCUUCCUUGGAGUCGGGUUGCUUGAUAGUGCACCCCAAAGUGGGUGGUAAACUCCACCUAAUGCUAAAUACUUUCCACGAGACCGAUAGCAAACAAGUACCGUGAGGGAAAGUUGCAAAGAAAUUUGAAGAGAGAGUUCAAGAGUGCGUGAAACCGUUCGGAGGUAAACGGGUGGGAGCGCGAACGUCAAACGGACGGGGAGGGAUUCAACUUGGCGUGGCGGCUGGCCUACCUGGUUCGCGUCUGGGCGUGCGGGACUCCCUUCUCGGGAAGCGUCCGCCGUCCCGCGUUCUGCUCUGGCCGUAUUCCACCGUGCCUUGUGCAUUUCCCUAUUCCCCCUCUCCUACUACGACGCCUCGACCGGCUGUCUAGGGGAUCCCAGGAGCUGGUCAGAGCACUUGCGCGCACGACUAAGGGACUAGUUCUCUGCGUCCGGUCUGUCUGUCUCCUUCCGCCCGCGGGUCGCUCCCUCCAGCCGAGGAACUGUGCGAGCUGGACCCUUGUGGUCCCUCGUCCAUGUGCGUGCCCACUAUCUGUCGGUGCGGGUCGAAAUAACCCAACGGGUGGCGUCUUCUGCCUACACGCCAUUCUCCGGACUGCGCGUGCGGACUCCGCGCGUCAGCCGCUGUCGGUCAGGGUGUGGACUCCCGCAUCUGGGGCGUUGGGGGUGCGCGGCGAGUAGGUCGGCAUCCCACCCGACCCGUCGUGAAACACGGACCAAGAAGUAUUACGCGUGGGCGAGUCUUCGGGGACUUUUCGAAC
rnacentral:rRNA from 1 species